rnacentral:SRP_RNA from 1 species
CUUCGACCAGUGGCUGAACUAUGAC